CUGCCGAGAGGCUCGAGAAGGUAGAGGAGAUGGCGCAGGGGACACGAGCUAAAAUGGGGGGCUCCUGGGACCCCCCAACAUGUGUCCUCUUCUCCCUCCUCCCAGGUGUA
rnacentral:pre_miRNA from 1 species